rnacentral:rRNA from 1 species
CAGUAGCCGCGGGAAUACGUAGGUGGCGAGCGUUGUCCGGAUUUAUUGGGCGUAAAGGGAGUGUAGGCGGUCUUUUAAGUCUGAUGUGAAAGCCCACGGCUCAACCGAGGAGGGUCAUUGGAAACUGGGAAACUUGAGUGCAGAAGAGGAGAGUGGAAUUCCACGUGUAGCGGUGAAAUGCGUAGAGAUGUGGAGGAACACCAGUGGCGAAGGCGACUCUCUGGUCUGUAACUGACGCUGAGGAGCGAAAGCGUGGGGAGCGAACAGGAUUAGAUACCCGAGUAGUCCCUGUCUCUUAUAC